GUUGACCUCGGAUCAGGUAGGGAUACCCGCUGAACUUAAGCAUAUCAAUAAGCGGAGGAAAAGAAACCAACAGGGAUUGCUCUAGUAACGGCGAGUGAAGCAGCAAUAGCUCAAAUUUGAAAUCUGGCGUCUUCGACGUCCGAGUUGUAAUUUGUAGAGGAUGCUUCUGAGUAACCACCGACCUAAGUUCCUUGGAACAGGACGUCAUAGAGGGUGAGAAUCCCGUAUGCGGUCGGAAAGGUGCUCUAUACGUAGCUCCUUCGACGAUCGAGUGUUGGGGGAAA
rnacentral:rRNA from 1 species